AUUGAACGCUGGCGGCAUGCCUUACACAUGCAAGUCGAACGGUAACAGGUCUUCGGAUGCUGACGAGUGGCGAACGGGUGAGUAAUACAUCGGAACGUGCCUAGUAGUGGGGGAUAACUACUCGAAAGAGUGGCUAAUACCGCAUGAGAUCUACGGAUGAAAGCAGGGGAUCGCAAGACCUUGUGCUACUAGAGCGGCCGAUGGCAGAUUAGGUAGUUGGUGGGAUAAAAGCUUACCAAGCCGACGAUCUGUGGCUGGUCUGAGAGGACGAUCAGCCACACUGGGACUGGGACGCGGCCCAGACUCCUAGGGGAGGCAGCGGUGGGGAAUUUUGGACAAUGGGCGAAAGCCUGAUCCAGCAAUGCCGCGUGCAGGAUGAAGGCCUUCGGGUUGUAAACUGCUUUUGUACGGAACGAAAAGCCCCGGGUUAAUACCCUGGGGUCAUGACGGUACCGUAAGAAUAAGCACCGGCUAACUACGUGCCAGCAGCCGCGGUAA
rnacentral:rRNA from 1 species